AUGAGUCCACGCGGGGCUGACGGACUCCCUGCCCGCCCAUGUCCCGCACCCUCCUCCGUCUCAGCGGAAACACAGGGGCCAGGAAGCCCUUCAGAAGUUGUCAGGGGUGACCCGGGGAGAGGAGUCCCGCGCAGAAAGUGCAAACGCCUUCGUGGCGGGUGGCUGCGCCCUUCCCCUGGGGCCCCUGCAGCAGAGCCCACAGUGCCAGAAGAAACGUGGGGACAUGUCAUCGUAGAUUUGACCGCCACACCACUGGGUCUUGAUUCCACAUCGGGCGCCACGGCUCCCCCCAGCAGUGAUGAGGGCUACUGCAGGAGAUCCCAAGAAGAAUGA
rnacentral:lncRNA from 1 species